rnacentral:rRNA from 1 species
AUUGAACGCUGGCGGCAGGCCUAACACAUGCAAGUCGAGCGUGCGGCGGACGGGUGCGUAAUGUCUGGGAAACUGCCUGAUGGAGGGGGAUAACGGCUGGAAACGGUAGCUAAUACCGCAUACCAUCAGAUGUGCCCAGCUGGGAUUAGCUAGUAGGUGGGGUAACGGCCCAGAUAGGCGACUAUCCCUAGCUGGUCUGAGAGGAUGAUCAGCCACACUGGAACUGAGACACGGUCAAGACUCCUACGGGAGGCAGCAGUGGGGAAUAUUGCACAAUGGGCGCAAGCCUGAUGCAGCCAUGCCGCGUGAGUGAAGAAGGCCGUCGGGUUGUAAAGCACUUUCAGCGGGGAGGCGUUACCCGCAGAAGAAGCACCGGCUAACUCCGUGCCAGCAGCCGCGGUAAUAC